GGUAGCGUGGCCGAGCGGUCU
rnacentral:ncRNA from 2 species